CGACUGUUUUACCAAAAACAUAGCUUCUAGAAAUAAUUAGAAGUAAAAUCCUGCCCGGUGAAAGCAAUUUUAAACGGCCACAAUCGUGCUAAGGUAGCGUAAUCAGUUGUCCUUUUACUGAGGACUAGUAUGAAAGGAAAAACGAGGCUCAACUGUCUCUAUUAAAAAAAUAAAAAUUAGUUUUUAGAUGAAAAAAUCUAAAUGAAAUUAAAGGACGAAAAGACCCUAUAGAGUUUAAAUAUAAUUAUACUAUUCACAAAUUAAACAAAACGAAUAGGAUAAGUAUUUUAAUUGGGGCAACAUAGGAACAAGAAAUUUCCUUAUAGUAAACAUUUAACAUCAUAAAAAUAAAAAUCCUCAAAGAGAUAAAGAAAAACUACCUUAGGGAUAACAGCGUAAUUUUUCUAAAGAGACCUAAUCGAAAGAAAAGUUUGCGACCUCGAUGUUGGACUAAGGCAUCAAAAUGGUGAAGAAACUAUUAAAAGUAGGCCUGUUCGGCCUAAUAGCCUUACAUGAUUUG
rnacentral:rRNA from 1 species